rnacentral:rRNA from 1 species
UACGUAGGGGGGCAAGCGUUGUCCGGAUUUAUUGGGCGUAAAGAGCGUGUAGGCGGCCUGACAGGUCUGCUGUGAAAACUCGAGGCUUAACCUCGAGAUGUCAUCGGAAACCAUUGGCUAGAGUCCGGAAGAGGAGAGUGGAAUUCCUGGUGUAGCGGUGAAAUGCGCAGAUAUCAGGAAGAACACCCGUGGCGAAGGCGGCUCUCUGGGCCUUACCUGACGCUGAGGAGCGAAAGCGUGGGGAGCGAACAGG